rnacentral:misc_RNA from 1 species
GCAUAAGGAUGGUGGAUGUUCUGCGAGUUUUCUGUGCUCUCUUCGUCGGUCUGAUUGUUGGUAUAUCAGGCAGCUGUCCUGAUGGUACAUACGGCUUCCAGUGUGGCUACAGAUGUAACUGUCCCGUGACCAGGUGUGAUACUCCGGAUGGAUGCAAUUUACAACCCUGUAGCCCAGGGUGGUCAGGGCCAACAUGUCAGAAACACAAUAAAGCACUUAACAAACCCACAUCAGCCAGUACAGCCUAUCUUCCAGCGGCCAGGGCUGUAAAUGGAGACAGAGGAGACGCAAAAUAUCAACUAGGCUUUCAUUCAGGAUUUUAUGACAGAACUAUAACGUAUGCAUGGUGGAGAGUGGAUCUGGGGGAGAGGACACCGAUACAUGACGUCACCAUAUACUUCAGGAAGGACUUCAAAGUACGUCGGAAUGGUAUCCAGAUCUACAUAGCUGAUACUGACGCCUCCCCCACUGAUGGAGUCAACUGCUACAACGUGACAGGGAACAGAGACGGGACGGACAUACCUGAUGUUUUGAACGUCACGUGUUCUGGCGAAGGGCAAUAUUUGGUCCUGUACACCAACACUAUCAACAACGAGGGUUAUGACGUGCCCAUCAUGGAUUUCUAUGAAGUUGAGGUUGACGUGUGCAGUCCUGGUACUUUCGGUGCUGACUGUGCCAACUACUGCAACUGUGACGGCGACGUGUGCGACUACGUGAGCGGCGUCUGUCCUGGUGGAGUCUGUCUUCCUGGCUGGGCAACAGAAACGUGUGAUACAGUGUGUGACCUUGGCUACUAUGGAGCCAACUGUAGCAAUGAUUGCCUGAAUAGGAACUGCAAGGGCGACAACUCUAGCUGUGACCGCGAGACAGGGGAGUGUGUUGGAGGCUGUAGUGCAGGAUGGGAUGGAACAGACUGUACUCACAAGAGUCACCACAAGCUGUUGAUCAGCGCUGUUGUUGGAGGAGCGGCGUACCUGUUGUUGAUCAUCGCUGUCUCAGCUGCAGCUGGUGUUUGUUGGUGCACAAGAAAGAACAGAACAGGCUCCAACCGUUUAGCGCAUCAUUCACAAGGAACUCCGAGAGCAAAUCACAAUUACGAAAACCAUGGCACAUCCGAACGGUCCACCGAAGUGGAGGUGGACAAACUGCAUGACAAGAUCAGGGAGUUGUUAGAGGAAGCUGGUGGUGUUCACAGUGAAUUCCACCGACUUUCUGUUGGUGCCAAUCGACCUCAGCUAAGAUCUCGACGGAAGGGAAACAGAGCCAAAAACCGUUAUAAAGACCUCUAUCCUUAUGAUUUCAACCAAGUACAGCUGACGAAACUGCACAGUGAUCCUCUCUCUACCUAUAUCAACGCUAACUACAUCAAUGGAUAUUUCAAACCUCAAGCGUACAUUGUGACUUAAGGGCCAAAACAGACAACUGUUGACGACUUCUGGCGAAUGGUCGUUGAGAAGGGGAUAACUAGAGUGGUUAUGCUGACCAACCAUGUAGAGAAGGGCGUGGUCAAAUGUGAAACUUACUGGUUGGACGGAGAUAUUCUUGAU